rnacentral:lncRNA from 1 species
UUGGGUUCAUUGAUCCUUUCAAAAAAAAAGAAGAAAAAAGAAAAAGGUUUUGAGAAAGUGUUGAACUCUAACGCAUUUGUUCUCUCUUAUCCAGUUAGUUUAAGAUGGUUGGUUUGUGGCAUUUUGGCUGGUCCUUCAUAUUGCACCAAGUCGAAGAGAAAGUUAUGGCCAACAGUAAGACUGAGGUUGUGGUCACUAAUCAGAUAAGGAGUUCGGGGAAUGAGAAUUUAGAAGCUAAUGAAGAGAUUCAGAAAUUAAGGCAGCAAAUGAUAGAAAUGCAUCGAGCUUGGGUUAAUGGGUUGUCGCCUCCUCCAUUUCCCACUGAUGAUCUGGAAUAUCUUUCUAGCUUUCCUUCAGUGUCACAUUCACAGUUUCCUAUUGUUGUUAACAUGUUAGAACAUGCAUCAGGAUCUAUUCUGGGGCAACACUAUCCAAACACUUCCAAUAUUU